CCCCCGAAUCUGUUUGGUUACUGAGAAAAAAUCGGCGGAUGCGAAAGGAAAAUCAAUAUGUUCGGAUUUGGAAGUCUCAGCUGCCAACAGACAGAGGUUUAGAACUUUUGAACCUUUGGUUUGGACAUGAUGAACUGGUGGAAAACUUUGUAUAAUUUUUUUUCGUACGAUGUUUAUUCCUUGGUUCUGCAUCUGUUUGGUUGCUGAGAAAACGAGGAAAAGCAUCACUAGGGCUACAUAUUGAAUUUUCCCUCAGUUUCCAGACCGGGUUUCACCGAGUUCUCUCAACUCAAUUGUUUGGAGCGUGAUAAGAGAAUCAGACAAAAAGGGUUUUCUUCACCAAUCCAUCAUAUGUUUGUAGGUUAAGUUCUAUGCUUACCUCUUGGGUCUGCACUUUGAUGAAAGCUUUGGAUUCUGUCGAGGUGUUCCGUUUCAGCAAUUUUUCUGAGGAUGAUGAAUAUGCGGUAUCUCAUGUUUCGACUUCUGAAUCCAGAGUUUCUGCAUCUUGAUGGGUGCAUUUGUGCUUGGCAAUUAUGUUUGAUUCCUUGAUGAAAGAUUAUCACAAGAGCCCUGUACCUUUACAAAUCAAUCCAGCUUAUGCUACAGCAAUGGCGCCGUGUGAUGGAUUUCCAAGGAAGAACACUACUCGUUCAACAGGGAAUAAAUCCUUCACAUGUCUUAACUUUCAUGGAAUCAGAAACGUUGGUUCAAAGGGGACCAUCCACAUAUAGUACCAAUGAGUUGGGUAAUGUGGAGGCGACUAUUAGUGACAUCAAUGGUUAAAGUUCAUCUAGAGAGCAUUUCCCAAUGCUCAUAUGCCUCUUUCAUGAGUUUCUAUUUCUAUGCAUGGAAGUGGGGAUGAUGGAUGGAUAAGAACAGAUUCACAUGCCAAACGUAUCAUGUCUAUGUCAUGACAUCAUUUGGCUAAAGGGCACUCAAGGGAGACUUGUUCCUUUUUGUUGUGUGGCUUGCUGUUCUGGCAGAGAAUUGGGAAUCUCUCCAAGGUGACAAUGGACGCUCCAGCUUCUGGGCCGAUGGGGGCAAGCGUGAAUUGGCACUGUGAUUCCAUUCUCCAAUUGGGUAAGACAGCAGAGUCCAUAUUAUUGAAGAUGAGAAACGUCAAUGAUCUUUUCUGUAAAUGAUGAUGAUGAUGUGAUUCUACUUGUUGCUGGCCAUUUUCAAAGAGUAAAUUUUGUUAAAUCUACUUUAGAAAGAUAUGGAAGCUUGUUCUCAUUCACAUUCAGGAAGCCACUGAAACUUCAACACAAACAGAACAGUUAGUCCUAAAACUAAGACGAAAAUCUCUGUUUCCUCCAAAUAACUCAACUCGGCAUUGAUUCACGUGUCGAAAUAAUCUUUAGUUUUACAAGAUUUCUUCACGACGAAA